CACGUAGGGGGCAAGCGUUUGUCCGGAUUUAUUGGGCGUAAAGAGCUCGUAGGUGGUUCGGUAAGUCAGGUGUGAAACCUCCAGGCUCAACCUGGAGACGCCACUUGAUACUGCUGUGACUGGAGUCCGGUAGGGGAGCGUGGAAUUCCUGGUGUAGCGGUGAAAUGCGCAGAUAUCAGGAGGAACACCAGCGGCGAAGGCAGCUCGCUGGGACGUGACUGACGCUGAGACGCGAAAGCGUGGGGAGCAAACAGG
rnacentral:rRNA from 1 species